GAUCUGAACCCUGUGGGUUCAGUGGCGAGCCAAUCCCAAGAGAGUGACUGUAGACGGACCAGAGUACGGUGUGGCCAGCCGUGGGAUCCAUCUUCAGCGAACCUCAGGACUAUCACUACAUCCCUUGACACAGAUAAGACUGACACUUUAAAAAUCUACCCGGGUAGUGUUAGAACCAGUGGACAGAAACACACACACACAAACAGAAACACACACACACAAGGAACUCUAAUUUCUCUUUCCAAAGAGAAGUGGACUGAGCAACAGGAGCGGAAGCUCUUUAAUUGAAACUCUUUGGAGAACUUCCUUAAAGAGGAUAUUUGGUUUUGAUUUAAUUUUGGGUCCUUUAAUGUGCGUUUGUGCACUGUAGGAAGCCGGCUUUAGACAGGCAGGGUUUGUAAACUUACAACUUUUCAAUACAGUCUCUAUUUAAACCAUAUCUUAUCUGUCCUUGUGUGGUUCCUUCUCUGCUGAUCCUUUCAAGGCUCCAUAGUCGUACUUAGAACCUUCUGAUACUAGUCCAAAGUUGUCAAGACAAUAAUUUAAUACCUAUCUCAUAUUAUUUAAUUGUAAUACCUGUUACACACACAUAAUGAAGCAGUUCCUUUUAAUUUGUAGAUUCAAGCUGCUCUUCAUAUUUUUGGCCACCAGAUGUCACCAAAGAGGACUGUGUUGAAAAGCUUUGAGCAAUAAACCUUUUUCAAUACAAGCUUCAGUGCUUCAGAAAGCUUCAUUUGGCCAUCACUAUCCGAAACUCAACUUUUGAGACUUCUGAGAGGAUUGGAAGUUUGUAGAUUGGUCAGUAGUUUUUUUGGUAAGGUGGGUUCUAGGUUAUUGUUCUUCAUCAGAGGUCCAACUGCCUGCUUGAAGAGAGCUGAACCAGUACUGAAAGACAGAACUGUUGAUGAUUGAGAGAAUGCUUGGACCAGUGUCUAGUGGAUAGGUUGUGGAUUUAAUGAAAGAAGAAUAGGAUAAUGUGGUUUGAAAACAGAUCAGAAGAAAGAAUCAGUUAAAAUGUGAGGGGAGGUAGUAAUACUACUCCUAAUAUUCUGAAUUUUACUAGUAAAACUCUUCACAUUUGUCAGCAGAGGCAUCCUAAAAAGGCACUGGAGGAGGUAGAGAUAACAGAGUUGGUGG
rnacentral:lncRNA from 1 species